CGCAGCGUGAGCGCGCUCGCCGGCUGCUUUUGUUUUGUCUUGCCGGGGCGUCCGCGUGCACGCCUCCGUUCCAAAGGCGGGGCUGUAGCUUCUGCUGUGGGAGCCUGCGUGGCGUCGCUUCGUUUGGGUUAUUAACGUUAUCGUUCGUGGACGGUAGAAAACAGCUUUGCUAGAAGCUUAAACAAGGAGUACCCGAAGACAACGCGGGCUUAACUUUGGAAAAUGCGUUAUUUUUUAACUCAUGACUGAGCGUCGUUGAGAAAAAGGAGUCUGUCAGCAGCAGCUUUCAACGUCUUAAUGUUUGCUGCCCAGUGGGAUCCGGCACAAAGUAGCAGGUUUUUCUGUUUAGAGCCUCUGCAUGUCGUGAGUUUCUACCAGAGCCAAAUGUCAUCUGCUCCUCACUGAAGUCGUCACCACUGGAAUCCAGCUGCUGCUCUCUAACUGGUCCACACAGCAGCUCAGACCUGACACAUCCACUGUAAACACACUGGUUUAUAUUCUGUUUGUUCUCCUCAUGAAGGAAACCUCACACAACCUCUGAGGGCAGAAAGUUCAAAUGGAGAGUUUUUGUUAUUGUUUUCUUUUAUAAAGAAGCUGGAAAAUUUACUUAAACUUUUUAUAUUAAAAAGAUAACAUUUUCUUCACCAAACCUUUCCGAAUAGAAGUGUGACCAAGACAUCAUUUACACAUAAACAAUAAUAAAUGGUAUGUAACUAAAAUGUAGAUGUAAUCCAUGUUUUCAUGUCUUCAGUAGCUUUGCUGUUAUUUAUGUUAUUUCUAAGUGUGCUGUCGUCUCCACAGCAGUGAUCUGGUUUCUCUGCAGGUUCAAUAAACUUUGGUCUCACUUGA